rnacentral:rRNA from 1 species
UUAUAGAGUUUUCUAAACUCCCAACCCAUGUGAACUUACCUUUUGUUGCCUCGGCAGAAGUUAUAGGUCUUCUUAUAGCUGCUGCCGGUGGACCAUUAAACUCUUGUUAUUUUAUGUAAUCUGAGCGUCUUAUUUUAAUAAGUCAAAACUUUCAACAACGGAUCUCUUGGUUCUGGCAUCGAUGAAGAACGCAGCGAAAUGCGAUAAGUAAUGUGAAUUGCAGAAUUCAGUGAAUCAUCGAAUCUUUGAACGCACAUUGCGCCCAUUAGUAUUCUAGUGGGCAUGCCUGUUCGAGCGUCAUUUCAACCCUUAAGCCUAGCUUAGUGUUGGGAAUCUACUUCUCUUAGGAGUUGUAGUUCCUGAAAUACAACGGCGGAUUUGUAGUAUCCUCUGAGCGUAGUAAUUUUUUUCUCGCUUUUGUUAGGUGCUAUAACUCCCAGCCGCUAAACCCCCAAUUUUUUGUGGUUGACCUCGGAUCAGGUAGGAAUACCCGCUGAACUUAAGCAUAUCAAUAAGCGGAGGAAAAGAAACCAACAGGGAUUGCCUUAGUAACGGCGAGUGAAGCGGCAACAGCUCAAAUUUGAAAUCUGGCCCUUGGGUCCGAAUUGUAAUUUGUAGAGGAUGAUUUUGGUGCGGUAUCUUCCGAGUUCCUUGGAACAGGACGCCUUAGAGGGUGAGAGCCCCGUACGGUUGAAUGCCUAGCCUCUGUAAAUCUCCUUCGACGAGUCGAGUAGUUUGGGAAUGCUGCUCUAAAUGGGAGGUAAAUUUCUUCUAAAGCUAAAUAUUGGCCAGAGACCGAUAGCGCACAAGUAGAGUGAUCGAAAGAUGAAAAGCACUUUGAAAAGAGGGUUAAAUAGCACGUGAAAUUGUUGAAAGGGAAGGAUUUGUGACCAGACUUUUUCUGGGCGGAUCAUCCGGGGUUCUCUCCGGUGCACUUCGCCCAGUAAAGGCCAGCAUCGGUUUUCGGCGUGGGAUAAAAGCAGUAGGAAUGUGGCUCUCUACGGGGAGUGUUAUAGCCUAUUGUAUAAUACCGCGCUG